AUUUAUUUAGUUUACGUGACCAACCUUUUCACUUCUUUACCCCCUCCAUUUCUCCUUCCCCAACCAUGUUCUGUGUUUCAACAAAGCUACCCAGUCUCUCUUUCAUCAAAAACCCUAAUCCCCAAAUCCCAGUUUCACCCAAAAUUCAAUAUAAUAAGCCAUUUAUUCGAUGCGAUAUAACAAGGUCUAAAUGAGCAUAUGCCAAUCGGAGAAAAGGAAGCUUAAAUCAAUAUAACAUAUUAAGCCAUUUAUCCGAGGUCCGUUUCGAGGUGUCUGAAUGGUGGUAAUUCGGUUGUUGUUUCUGGAGGUGGUGAUAGUGUGAAUUUGUUCUAAGAGGCGUGGGAGGUCUGUGUCUAAGAGAAAUUACGGUGAUGAUGUUGGUAGUGCAGCAAGGGUUGUUUCGGAUAGUGAUUGAGGAAUAGGCGGUCUAUUUCGGUUGUUCAGCAUCAGAUUAGUGGCUCCGAGUUAUCAUAAAAACCGAAGGCAAUCGCUACUUCUGCGAGUUCUUCUGUUAGUGAAAGAGAAGUUGUUCUCAAAAAGCCUGUUAAAUCUACUUCUCAAAACGGGUUCGGGUCAAAACGGGUCAAUUCCAAUAAAGGGUUGUUCUCUAGGAAGAAUUCUCCCGGUUCGUUUUAUUGCCAUUAGGGGUGCAAACGAGCCGAGCUACUCGUGAGCUACUCGAGCUCGGCUCGAAAAAAACUCGAACGAGCCGAGCUUAAACGAGCUCGAGCUCGAGCCCGAGCCUAAAAACAAGCUCGUUUAGUAAACGAGCCCGAGCCCGAGCUUCGCUUAUCGAGCUCGAGCCGGCUCGCGAGCCUAAUCGAGCUUUCUAUUUAUAUAUAUUUUUUAUUAAUAUAUUAAACAUAUAUUUAUAUAAUAAUAAUUACCAUUUAUAUAAAUAUAAAAAAUAACGAAAUUAUAUAUAUAAUAAUAAUAAUUAUUAUUAUUAAUAUAAAUUAAUUAAAAAUUACUAAACAAGUCGAGCCCGAGCCGAGCUCGAGCUUGAAGAAUUACAUUCGACCCGAGCUCGAGCUUCAGAAAUAAAGCUCGAAUCGAGCCGAGCUCGAGCUCGAGCUUUCAUAUGUUAAACGAGCUCGAGCUCGAGCCUGGUCGAGCUCGGGCUCGUCUCGGCUCGUUUGCACCCCAUGGGUCCGGGUCGGAAUGGGUUUCGGGUCGGAACGGGUUUCGGGUCGGAACGGGUUUCGGGUCGGGUCGAGUCAGUUUUUCUUUUAAGACAGUCAAGAGAUAAGCAUUCAAAGGGAAAACAAUGCCACAAACAUUAACUCUGCACAAAUAUUAUUAGUUUAAAUGUAUAAUCUUCGUUACAGAUAGUGACAUAUGUUUUGAAAUUGUGACGAGUACUACAAAAUUUGAAUGUCAGAUCACGAGUCAUCCAAAUUGGCUUUAACCGGUGUCGUUUUACGCCUUAGGUUAACCCAAAUUGGCUUUAACCGGUGUCGUAUUAAUAAAUGUUUAAGCGCAAUUGAUCAGGAUCAAGUGAUUUCAUAAAUGUUUUGCGACUCGGUAGACCGUUCCUUUCAUGUAACUUGGCCUAUACAAAGUACACAGAAAUUUCUUUUAAAUCUCAGAUAGGUGCGUUUCAUGGCAAGGUGGUUUAGAGUACGCGGGGAUCAGCUUGGGAACCAAAGUCAUGGAUUCGGAUGGCCUUAUGGCCCCGUGGCGUUAGUUACACCAUUCAGUUUUAGUUUUCCUGUAAAGAUCCCGGCAGUCCAGCUGAUGGGAGCUCUUUACAUGGGCAUCAAACUGGUCCUUAGAGUUGAUAAAAACAGUGAGUUUUUAAGGCACAUAAAUAACUAAUAUUUAUACCUGGGGAUCAUCUAUAUAGGUUUGCGUCUGUUCUCAUUCUUUUUGUUUAUGUAUUUAACAAUAUGUUCGUACUGUACUGUUUGGCAACAAUGUUUUUAUCAUAAUAAUGACCUAAAUAUUUAAACGAAACCAUUUACCAAAACCGCAAAAUGUUUUGACCCGUUGGACCCAUUUGAAAGCAUUUGGAAUAAAACAAAAACAAAAUGGGUUAAAAUCGACAACUCUACAUUCUCGAUUGUUUAUAGGUUGUAUAUAAGUUACUUAGCUGAGGUGAAACAAGUGUCUUGAACAUCCACUACCAACAUAUUAGGCUGCAGAAAAAAGAUGAGAUUUGACUUUCUUAGGUCAAAUAUGGUAUUGCUAAUUUGACCUUAUUUGACCACAUGGUAAUGCAGGUGAAAACUAACUUCAAUGCACCAAAAUUUGAAUGUCAGAUCACGAGUCACCAAAACAGUAUUAUAUGCAUUCUUUUUAUAGGUAUGCAGAGUAUUUGCAGCCUGACUGCAGCAUGAUCGCAGCCGAUCUGCAGCAUGUUCGCAGCCGGCAAACGAUUAAGCGGCCAAUUUAGGGGUGCAAACGAGCCGAGCUACUCGUGAGCUACUCGAGCUCGGCUCGAAAAAAAACUCGAACGAGCCGAGCUUAAACGAGCUCGAGCUCGAGCCCGAGCCUAAAAACAAGCUCGUUUAGUAAACGAGCCCGAGCCCGAGCUUCGCUUAUCGAGCUCGAGCCGGCUCGCGAGCCUAAUCGAGCUUUCUAUUUAUAUAUAUUUUUUAUUAUUAUAUUAAACAUAUAUUUAUAUAAUAAUAAUUACCAUUUAUAUAAAUAUAAAAAAUAACUAAAUUAUAUAUAUUAUAAUAAUUAUUAUUAUUAUUAUUAUUAAUAUAAAUUAAUUAAAAAUUACUAAACGAGUCGAGCCCGAGCCGAGCUCGAGCUUGAAGAAUUACAUUAAAAAUUACUAAACGGGUCGGGUGGUUUUGAUAACGGGUCAAAAUGACUAUUUCAUGUGUCAUGCUAGUAAAAGUUACGAUGGGUUGGGUGGUUUUGAUAAUGCGUCAAAGAAACAAUUCCGGCCGGUACCUAGCACUGAUGUGCAAUUCUUUAGAUACCAGAUUUGAGGAGAGAUGUGUAAUAAUCUUGAUUCACUUUUUUUUUGCAGUCUGUACCAAAGAUUGGUAUCAGGGUACUGGUACCAAGCACUGAUGAAGGUGGAGAAAUGGCUAUCAUCUCUGCGGCAGCUAGAUAUCACAGCUUGAGAAUAUGCUGAAGCAGAAAACUUUUACUAUGUUUGUUUUUUGCACCAGUUGUUAAUCUUUUCUAUGAUCUGUGAUGUAAGUUUGACAGCUGGAUAUUACAAAAUUUGACAGUAAUGAGCCGAGCCCGAGCAAGGUCAGCUCGCUCAUUAGUUGGCCCACUUAAAUUAAAGUCCAAAUUUGAAAUAUAUAAAAAAAUUAUAACAUAUAUUGAAUUUUCUAAGUCUAAAUUUACUAUCAGCCAAACCCAAUAUUCAAAUAGUACAUACGGCCAUUUUUCAAUGAGAAAAUCAAAUAAAAUCUAAAUUUACUAUCACCACUUGACCAUAACUUUUUCCAAGGCACAAAUAAAAUCUAAAUUUACUAUCAUCACUUGACUGUAACUUUUUCCAAGGCAAUAAAAAAUAUUACAUUUUUAAGAGGUAACCAUAUAUUUCAUUUAAUUGAAUGUUCAGCUGAUCGCACCCACACAUUUCUAACACUUUUAACUUUCUUUCUUUCUUUCGUAGUGUUUGGGGUGGUUUGUGUCCGGUUUGCGGGUUUGAUCCCGAGUCCGCUGAUCAUCUUUUAGUGAGGUGUACGGUGACGAAAAGAGCUUGGUGGUGGAUUUGCGUUUGGCUAAAAGUCCUAUACCGAGCGUUUUAACUAAGUGACCCACAUCCUAGCUCAUUGUCGCAGCCUGGGAAUGGAGGCAAAAAGGAGAAGAUAAUUUAUGCAGUUUUUUUGCUAACUUGUCGGAAGCUUUGGCGAAACAGAAACGAGAGUAUUUUCGAUAAAAAGUUCACUUCAGUAGCGAUCUUGGUCGAUGACAUAAAGGUUGAAUCCUUUCGAUAAAAAGUUCACUUCAGUAUCGAGUGAUUGUUUAAAAACCAACUAGAUCUGGUCUGUAUUAUGUAACAUGACUACAUAUAUGUUUUAUGGUUAAACGUCUACUGAAGUUAUGUUCA